rnacentral:rRNA from 1 species
AGAGUUUGAUCAUGGCUCAGGAUGAACGCUAGCUACAGGCUUAACACAUGCAAGUCGAGGGGAAACGACGAUCGAAAGCUUGCUUUUGAUGGGCGUCGACCGGCGCACGGGUGAGUAACACGUAUCCAACCUGCCGUCUACUCUUGGACAGCCUUCUGAAAGGAAGAUUAAUACAAGAUGGCAUCAUGAGUUCACAUGUUCACAUGAUUAAAGGUUUUCCGGUAGACGAUGGGGAUGCGUUCCAUUAGAUAGUAGGCGGGGUAACGGCCCACCUAGUCUUCGAUGGAUAGGGGUUCUGAGAGGAAGGUCCCCCACAUUGGAACUGAGACACGGUCCAAACUCCUACGGGAGGCAGCA